UUUCCGUAGGUGAACCAGCGGAGGGAUCAUUAAAGAGUUAGGGACUUCGGCCUCGCCCUCCAACCCUUGCUAUAAUUACCAUGUAGCUUUGGCUGACCCGUCUGACGACCGCCCGCGCUUUCGCGGGCCCCCCCCCCUUUUCACCCGUCACUGUCCAUGGCCCUAUUCAAAUUCUUGAGAAAUUGAAAUGUCUGAAUUAUAUACUCAAUAGUUAACACUUUCAACAACGGAUCUCUUGAUUCUGCCGUCGAGGAAGAAACCAGCCGGUCGGCAGAGCAC
rnacentral:misc_RNA from 1 species